UACGUAGGGGGCAAGCGUUGUCCGGAAUUAUUGGGCGUAAAGAGCGUGUAGGCGGUCCGGUAAGUCAGCUGUGAAAGUCAAGGGCUCAACCCUUGAAUGCCGGUUGAUACUGUCGGGCUAGAGUCCGGAAGAGGCGAGUGGAAUUCCCGGUGUAGCGGUGAAAUGCGCAGAUAUAGGGAGGAACACCGGUGGCGAAGGCGGUUCUCUGGGCCUGACCUGACGCUGAGGAGCGAAAGCGUGGGGAGCGAACAGG
rnacentral:rRNA from 1 species